rnacentral:misc_RNA from 1 species
AUUUUUGCAACUAAAAUUCCAACUGAUUCCUCAGAAGAUAAGAGUUCUUCAAGAAUAUUAGCUUGUCUGUUCUUCCAUUGGAUAUAUGACUUCUCAUUCGAAAAUUCAGUCUUUGUUGUGCCAUUCAAAAGCCCUAGUGUGAUUUGAGGAACAUCGAUUUGUUCAAAUGAUUUCUCAGAAGCUAAACGCACCAACUUUCGCCGAGUGAGAGCAUCCAUUGUUUCUGAGAUCUGCAUUUGUGUCCUGAAAGUUUCAAUAAGCUCAGCAUUUCUAUCGAAAGGCACGGACCCAGACAGGGACCGUGAAUGUCUUUUCUCUCUUCUCUUCAGCCCAGAAAGAAAUCUAGGACUCUUCUCUUUCUUUUUACACUCAGCCAAGCGAACCUCAAGCCCAGAGCAGAUCAUGCAAGCAAGGAAUACUUCAUAGGCAGAUUCACGCAAAUCAUCGUCCAGUAGCCCUGUUUUCA